rnacentral:RNase_P_RNA from 1 species
CGGGUCGGACAGUCGCGUGAGCAGCGCCGAAAGGCCGUUCAUGAGGAAAGUCCGGGCUCCACAGGGCAAGGAUAACGGGUAACGCCCGCCGAAGGCGACUUCAGGAAAAGUGCAACAGAGAUAUACCGCUGCGUCAGGCAAGUCCGAGCUCCCGAAAAACCGGGGCCUCCGCAAAACGAAGUUUUGCAUGGGGCAUGCAACGGCGCAGUAAGGGUGGAAAGGUGCGGUAAGAGCGCACCCGGUGGCUCGAGAGUGCCCACCGCUGUAAACUCUAUCCGGAGCAACACCGCAGAGGAGACAAGGCUCGCCCGGCCGUCUCCGAGAAGGUGGCUGGAGCGCACCGGCAACGAUGCGCCUAGAUAGAUGACUGUCGAUGACAGAACCCGGCUUACAGACCCGGUC